GACGGGGGGGGCAAGUGUUCUUCGGAAUGACUGGGCGUAAAGGGCGCGUAGGCGGCGCGAGUAGUCAACGGUGAAAGCCCGGGGCUCAACCCCGGGUCGGCCGUCGAUACUCUCGUGCUUGAGCACUGUAGAGGCAGGUGGAAUUCCGGGUGUAGCGGUGGAAUGCGUAGAUAUGUGGAGGAAUACCGAUGGCGAAGGCAGCCUCCUGGGAUAACACUGACGCUCAUGCACGAAAGCGUGGGGAGCAAACAGG
rnacentral:rRNA from 1 species